UUGRAUCAUGGCUCAGGAUGAACGCUAGCUACAGGCUUACACAUUGCAAGUCGSSGGGGCAUCAUGGGUGUAGCAAUACGCCUGAUGGCGACCGGCGCACGGGUGAGUAACACGUAUCCGACCUGCCCCAUACUAUGGGCUAGCCGCCCGAAAGGGUGAUUAAUCCCGUAUAAAGUCUAGUGAUUUGCAUGAUAUCUAGACCAAAGGAUAGAUCCGGUAUGGGAUGGGGAUGCGUUCCAUUAGGCAGUAGGCGGGGUAACGGCCCACCUAGCCUACGAUGGAUAGGGGUUCUGAGAGGAAGGUCCCCCACAUUGGAACUGAGACACGGUCCAAACUCCUACGGGAGGCAGCAGUGAGGAAUAUUGGUCAAUGGGCGUAAGCCUGAACCAGCCAAGUAGCGUGAAGGAUGACGGUCCUAUGGAUUGUAAACUUCUUUUAUACGCGAUUAAAAGAGUCCACUAWUGGUCUGAAUUGCAAUUAGCGUAUGAAUAAGCAUCGGCUAACUCCGUGCCAGCAGCCGCGGUAAUACGGAGGAUGCGAGCGUUAUCCGGAUUUAUUGGGUUUAAAGGGAGCGUAGAUUGUAUGUUAAGUCAGUUGUAAAAUACAGGAGCCCAACUCCUGGGAGCAGUUGAAACUGGCAUACUCGAGUAGGGUGGAGGCAGAUGGAAUUCGUGGUGUAGCGGUGAAAUGCAUAGAUAUCACGAAGAACUCCGACAGCGAAAGCAUUCUGCCACAGCCUAACUGACAUUGAUGCUCGAAAKUCCSGGUUUCAAACAGGAUUAGAUACCCUGGUAGUCCGCAACGGUA
rnacentral:rRNA from 1 species